GCUUAUUAUGACCUGAAAAUAAAGCAAAGCGGAAAACAUGGUAAAAUGAAAGAAAAGAAAACGAAAAUGGUAAAAUAUGAAGAGAAAACAACUAAUAAAAACAAUAUAAAAACCACUUAUCACAUCUUUAGCUUCCAAAACUACAGACACGAAAUUACUCAGCAACACCUCAUUUCAUCCUCUCACUCUCUUCCUCCUCAUCCAACAAAAACUACCUUUUUUUUUUUUACAGAAGCACACAAAAAAUUUCUUCCAUUUCACUAAAAUUCUCUCAACUUCUCUAUUUC
rnacentral:lncRNA from 1 species